GACGAACGCUGGCGGCGUGCUUAACACAUGCAAGUCGAACGAAGAGCGAUGGAAGCUUGCUUCUAUCAAUCUUAGUGGCGAACGGGUGAGUAACGCGUAAUCAACCUGCCCUUCAGAGGGGGACAACAGUUGGAAACGACUGCUAAUACCGCAUACGAUCUAAUCUUGGCAUCGAGGAUAGAUGAAAGGUGGCCUCUACAUGUAAGCUAUCACUGAAGGAGGGGAUUGCGUCUGAUUAGCUAGUUGGAGGGGUAACGGCCCACCAAGGCGAUGAUCAGUAGCCGGUCUGAGAGGAUGAACGGCCACAUUGGGACUGAGACACGGCCCAGACUCCUACGGGAGGCAGCAGUGGGGAAUCUUCCGCAAUGGACGAAAGUCUGACGGAGCAACGCCGCGUGAGUGAUGACGGCCUUCGGGUUGUAAAGCUCUGUUAAUCGGGACGAAAGGCCUUCUUGCGAAUAGUGAGAAGGAUGGACG
rnacentral:rRNA from 1 species